UACGGGAGGCAGCAGUGAGGAAUAUUGGACAAUGGGCGCAAGCCUGAUCCAGCCAUGCCGCGUGCAGGAUGACGGUCCUAUGGAUUGUAAACUGCUUUUAUACAGGAAGAAACCCUACCACGUGUGGUAGAUGACGGUACUUAGAAUAAGAUCAUUCCCCC
rnacentral:rRNA from 1 species